rnacentral:rRNA from 1 species
CCUACGGGAGGCAGCAGUGGGGAAUAUUGGACAAUGGGCGAAAGCCUGAUCCAGCAAUUCCGCGUGUGUGAAGAAGGCCUUCGGGUUGUAAAGCACUUUAGUGGGGGAAGAAACAGCUUGGCCACACCAAGCCUUGACGGUACCCCAAGAAUAAGCACCGGCUAACUCUGUGCCAGCAGCCGCGGUAAUACAGAGGGUGCAAGCGUUAAUCGGAUUUACUGGGCGUAAAGGGUGCGUAGGUGGCUAUUUAAGUCGGAUGUGAAAGCCCGGGGCUCAACCUCGGAAUUGCAUUCGAUACUGAGUGGCUAGAGUUCGGUAGAGGGCGGCGGAAUUUCCGGUGUAGCGGUGAAAUGCGUAGAUAUCGGAAGGAACAUCAAUGGCGAAGGCAGCCGCCUGGGCCUGGACUGACACUGAGGCACGAAAGCGUGGGUAGCAAACAGGAUUAGAUACCCUGGUAGUCCACGCCGUAAACGAUGGGAACUUGACGUUGGUUCGUUUUACGAAUCGGUGUCGCAGCUAACGCGAUAAGUUCUCCGCCUGGGGAGUACGGCCGCGAAGGUUGAAACGUCAAAGGUAAUUGACGG